rnacentral:lncRNA from 1 species
ACGGAAAUCGUCUUCUGUGCUGUCACCUCAAAUGAGCAGGUCAAGGGCUAUGGCACCCACCUGAUGAAUCACCUGAAGGAGUACCACAUCAAACACAGCAUCCUGUACUUCCUCACCUACGCCGACGAGUACGCCAUCGGCUACUUCAAGAAGCAGGUGAGCCUCGGAAUCACUGCACCGCCACCUCGGGCACCGUCUGUGUGCACAGUGCCCCGUAGAGCUCCUUUUGGUUGCCCACUGCACCCGGCACCGGUGAGGAAGCCCCGCCCCCCCUUCCUGUUUGCUCCCAGUGAAGAACAAGGCCAGGGAUUGGAAGGUCCUUUGGGGAUUGGAGGAGGUGAGGAACAGCCGU